UACGAAGGGGGCUAGCGUUGUUCGGAAUUACUGGGCGUAAAGCGCGCGUAGGCGGUUUUCCAAGUCGGGCGGGAAAGCCCCGGGCUCAACCCGGGAAAUGCGCUCGAAACUUGAAGACUGGAGGCCGGAAGAGGGUAGUGGAAUUCCCAGUGUAGAGGUGAAAUUCGUAGAUAUUGGGAAGAACACCAGUGGUGAAGGCGGCUACCUGGUCCGGAUCUGACGCUGAGACGCGAAAGCGUGGGGAGCAAACAGG
rnacentral:rRNA from 1 species